rnacentral:lncRNA from 1 species
UUUCCUAUUAGACAUAAAAAACCCAAACUUGCAUAAUACACAGGUGUGAUAUCCUAAUUUAGAUUGCCCAGGUGGUAUGGAAAUCCUAAGCAGAUAAAUCAAUGUGUAAACUGGUCAUGGCAUAACAAGGCCCAGCACGGGGUUCUGGUUGAAGAAAAUGCAUAGUUCAUCUGGAAGAAGAUAUUUUCAACUCAGUGCAUAGGGGUCUUCUAAGGAAAAGAGGGGGAAAGCUGAUAAUAAGCUCAACAUAAAACUUAGAAAACACAUGAUGAAAAAAUCCUUCCUACCAUCAGGAAGAAUCAGUGACAAAACAAAGGGGAAUUGGUACUUCCCCCAAAAACUGAGGUAACAAGCUUCAAGAAAUUAUAAAAUCAACAUGUUCCUAAUGAUGACAACAAAGUAAAAGGCCAAAAACAUAAUGAAAGAGGAGGACACCAUAGAAAGAGAUAACAGAUUUGAAAAAGAACCAAGUAGAACUUGUGGAAAUAAUAAUAAAAACCCAGAAAUUAAAAACUAAAUGGACAAAUAGAAAACAAAGAGAAGAUGGUAAAUUGAAAUCAAAAUAUCUCAGUAAUUGCAUUAAAUGCAAAUGUACAAAAUAUUCCAAUUAAAAAAGACUAAGAUUAUCAGAUUUGAUUUUAAAAAUCUCAACCUAAUUAUCUGCUGCACAUUGAACAUAAGGACAGAGAAUUUGAAAGUAAAAGAAUAGAAAACAUGUACACACACACCAUUAAAAAGAAGUCAAACAUAGCAUUACUACUCUCAAAGUACACUCUAAAGCAAGAAAUAUUAUUAAGAGAAAGAUGGACAUUUUCUAAUUACAAAAGGUCAAUUAAUCCUUGAUAAAAAUUUAAAUGUUCAUGCACUUAUUAACAUAACUUCAAAAUAUUUAAAGCAAAAAAGUAACAAAAUUCACCUCACAUCCAUUAGGAUUUUGAUUACCAUCAAAAAAGAGAAAAUAAGAGUUGGCAAGGAUGCAGAGAAUUGGAAUCCUUGUGCACUGUUACUGGGAAUGCAAAAUAGGGUACCUACUACGGAAAACAGAAGGGUUGUUCCUCAAAAACUUAAACAUACAAUUCCUAUAUAAUUUAUCAAUUCCACUUCUCGACAUAUACCCAAAAGAGUUGAAAGCAGUGUCAGAAAUAUUUGUACAUCCAUGUUCAUUGCAGCAUUAUUCACAAUAGCCAAAAGCUGGUAGCAACUCAAG